AGUGAACGCUGGCGGUAGGCCUAACACAUGCAAGUCGAACGGCAGCACAGUAAGAGCUUGCUCUUACGGGUGGCGAGUGGCGGACGGGUGAGGAAUACAUCGGAAUCUACUUUUUCGUGGGGGAUAACGUAGGGAAACUUACGCUAAUACCGCAUACGACCUACGGGUGAAAGCAGGGGAUCUUCGGACCUUGCGCGAUUGAAUGAGCCGAUGUCGGAUUAGCUAGUUGGCGGGGUAAAGGCCCACCAAGGCGACGAUCCGUAGCUGGUCCGAGAGGAUGAUCAGCCACACUGGAACUGAGACACGGUCCAGACUCCUACGGGAGGCAGCAGUGGGGAAUAUUGGACAAUGGGCGCAAGCCUGAUCCAGCCAUACCGCGUGGGUGAAGAAGGCCUUCGGGCUGUAAAGCCCUUUUGUUGGGAAAGAAAAGCAGCAGGUUAAUACCCCGCUGUUCUGACGGUACCCAAAGAAUAAGCACCGGCUAACUUCGUG
rnacentral:rRNA from 1 species